rnacentral:rRNA from 1 species
GACGAAGGAUGCAAGCGUUAUCCGGAUUCAUUGGGUUUAAAGGGAGCGUAGGCGGACUUAUAAGUCAGUGGUGAAAUCUUCGAGCUUAACUCGGAAACUGCCAUUGAUACUGUAGGUCUAGAGUACAGUUGCCGUUGGCGGAAUAUGACAUGUAGUGGUGAAAUACUUAGAUACUGUCAUAGAACACCGAUUGCGAAGGCAGCUAACGAAGCUGUAACUGACGCUGAGGCUCGAAAGCGUGGGGAUCAAACAGG